rnacentral:rRNA from 1 species
GACAGAGGGUGCAAACGUUGUUCGGAAUUACUGGGCGUAAAGCGCGUGUCGGCGGCAGGGCAUGUCGGAUGUGAAAUCCCGUGGCUCAACCACGGAAGUGCACCCGAAACUGCCCAGCUUGAGUCUCGGAGAGGAAGGCGGAAUGCUUGGUGUAGAGGUGAAAUUCGUAGAUAUCAAGCGGAACACCGGUAGCGAAGGCGGCCUUCUGGACGAUGACUGACGCUGAGACGCGAAAGCGUGGGGAGCAAACAGG